rnacentral:rRNA from 1 species
UAGUAGGUGGGGUAACGGCUCACCUAGGCGACGAUCCCUAGCUGGUCUGAGAGGAUGACCAGCCACACUGGAACUGAGACACGGUCCAGACUCCUACGG